rnacentral:tRNA from 1 species
GUCUCGGUCGUCUAGCCAGGCCCAGGACACCGCCCUUUCACGGCGGCGACACGGGUUCAAAUCCCGUCCGAGACG